CCCUUAGAUGUCCUGGGCCGCACGCGCGCUACACUGACAUGUUCAACAAGCCUCCUAGUUCGACAGGAUUUGGGAAAUCUUUGAACGCAUGUCGUGAUAGGGAUAGAUCAUUGCAAUUAUUGAUCUUGAACGAGGAAUUCCUAGUAAACGCGAGUCAUCAGCUCGCAUUGAUUACGUCCCUGCCCUUUGUACACACCGCCCGCCGCACCUACCGAUUGAAUGUUUCGGUGAAGAUUCCGGAUAGGACUUUUUUGAUUUAUUUCAAUUCUGUCUUAAAAGCUAUCUAAACCUCAACAUUUAGAGGAAGGUGAAGUCGUAACA
rnacentral:rRNA from 1 species